UACGGGGGGGGCAAGCGUUGUUCGGAAUUACUGGGCGUAAAGGGCGCGUAGGCGGGCCGAAAAGUCAGGGGUGAAAUCCUCCAGCCCAACUGGAGAAGCGCCUUUGGUACUGUCGGCCUCGAGGGGUGCAGGGGCAUGCGGAACUCAGGGUGGAGCGGUGAAAUGCGUAGAUAUCCUGAGGAACACCGGUGGCGAAAGCGGCGUGCUGGACACCUUCUGACGCUGAGGCGCGAAAGCCAGGGGAGCAAACAGG
rnacentral:rRNA from 1 species